rnacentral:rRNA from 1 species
GUUGGGGAAUAUUGGACAAUGGACCGAGAGUCUGAUCCAGCAAUUCUGUGUGCACGAUGAAGUUUUUCGGAAUGUAAAGUGCUUUCAGUUGGGAAGAAAGAAAUGACGGUACCAACAGAAGAAGUGACGGCUAAAUACGUGCCAGCAGCCGCGGUAAUACGUAUGUCACGAGCGUUAUCCGGAUUUAUUGGGCGUAAAGCGCGUCUAGGUGGUUAUAUAAGUCUGAUGUGAAAAUGCAGGGCUCAACUCUGUAUUGCGUUGGAAACUGUAUAACUAGAGUACUGGAGAGGUAAGCGGAACUACAAGUGUAGAGGUGAAAUUCGUAGAUAUUUGUAGGAAUGCCGAUGGGGAAGCCAGCUUACUGGACAGAUACUGACGCUGAAGCGCGAAAGCGUGGGUAGCAAACAGGAUUAGAUACCCUGGUAGUCCACGCUGUAAACGAUGAUUACUAGGUGUUGGGGGUCGAACCUCAGCGCCCAAGCAAACGCGAUAAGUAAUCCGCCUGGGGAGUACGUACGCAAGUAUG